GAACCUUCUUAUAUGGCCACUGAUGGGUGCCAAAGCAAACAGCUUAGGGAGACCAUGAUAUACGUCUUCAUCCUCCAUCUUCCUCAUGGAAUGUUUUCAGAUGAUGCCUCUAGUGUUAGGAAUGACCUCGUGGUUUGCUUUAGGAAUCUUGGCUUUACAGUGUGGGCUAGAAAUGAAUGUUUCUGGGUUUUGAAGGUUGAGGGUUGAAGUGCAGAACUAAAAGCCAAUGAGAAGAACUUCAGAGCAGCAGUUUGGAUAGUUAACAGUGUUUAAGGGACUAGAAUCGUUUUAUUUGCCAGUUAACCAUGAAAAAUAAAGCUCAGACAUGGACGAGUCAACUGUCAGUGACGAUGAAUGGAAGUGAAAUCCAAAACUUAAUAAACUAAUAAAUAAUACACCAAUUUAUUAUUAUUAUUAUUAUUAUUAUUAUUAUUAUUAUUAUUUCUGUUUUUUUUAUAAUAGUGCAUAAAUAAAACUUAUAAUUAUAAUAUUAUAUAAUUAUUAUAAUAAUUUAUGAGAAUAUAAUUUAUAAUAAAACUGAUGCUGUAGAUUUGUAUAAAGCUGCUUUAAUGUCUGUAGUUUAAAUCUGACGCUGAUUCCUAACUGAGCGCCUGCGCAUGUUUCUGAUGGGGUUCUGUGUAUCAGCACAUCCAUCACACAGGUGUAUCAGGUGUAUCAGGUGUAUCAGGUGUAUCAGGUGACCUCGCUACAUACCACACCUGUGUGUGAUGGGGUUCUGUGUAUCAGCACAUCCAUCACACACAGGUGUAUCAGGUGUAUCAGGUGUAUCAGGUGUAUCAGGUGACCUCGCUACAUACCACACCUGUGUGUGAUGGGGUUCUGUGUAUCAGCACAUCCAUCACACAGGUGUAUCAGGUGUAUCAGGUGUAUCAGGUGACCUCGCUACAUACCACACCUGUGUGUGAUGGGGUUCUGUGUAUCAGCACAUCCAUCACACAGGUGUAUCAGGUGUAUCAGGUUACCUCGCUACAUGCCAUUUUCUUUCCACCAUCAGGUGGAUCUCCUCGAUGCGGCGGUUGUUGGCGUA